GCAGUCGUGGCCGAGUGGUUAAGGCGAUGGACUAGAAAUUCAUUGGGGUCUCCCGCACAGGCUCAAAUGUUGUCAACUGUG
rnacentral:tRNA from 1 species